GUUAUUUUUCACCACAGACACAGCGACAAACACAAAUCAACAGAGAACUCUGUAAUGAAACAUUAUCUAACAAGUGUAAUUAAGCGGCUCUGUUGUAAAGGCUAACAGUUAGCACAAUGCCAUCAUGUCAGAGAGCAAA